UACUGUGCCUGCCCGAGCCCUAAUCCGUUCCUCUCUUCUUCUCUCGCGCCCGACGUCGGCGGUUUCUUCUUCCCGAGCGCCGGCAGCCGGUUCAUAGCCGAGUUUUUUCUCCACUUCGCCUCCCAGUGCCGAGCUCUUCUCCUCCUCACUGCCGCCGUGACACCGCCACCACAGCGCCAGCGUGCCCUAGAUCCAAAGUCAGCCGUUUUCCUACUGCCGACGCCGUGCCCUAGCCUUUGUACAGCGCCAUCGUCGCCCUUCCUCUGAUGACGCUGACCCCUUCCAUGCCCUAGCGCCGGUGCCGCCACCACAGUCGACGCCGAGGACUUCUCUUCUCUUCCUCUCUGUUGUGCCCAAGAUUCAAAGGAGCGUGCCCUAGAUUGCCUCUUGCUGCCGGAUCUGAACAAAAUAGCAAGGGUUGUGCGCUGUGGGGAAAUUAGCAGAAAGGAGGUCUUGCUGUGGUAUACCUUGUUUCCAGCCAGCAAUCAGCUCAUCGUGUUCUAUGUUCAACAACGACUGAGCUUGAGGAUAUUGAUUCGAGACGGUGUCUUGACGGGGGAUCUGUUUUGGAUACGAUCCUUUUCGAUUGGAGGCGGGU